UACGUAGGGUGCGAGCGUUAAUCGGAAUUACUGGGCGUAAAGUGUGCGCAGGCGGCCAACUAAGUCGGAUGUGAAAUCCCCAGGCUUAACCUGGGAACUGCAUCCGAUACCGGAUGGCUUGAAUCCGGGAGAAGGGAUGCGGAAUUCCAGGUGUAGCGGUGAAAUGCGUAGAUAUCUGGAGGAACACCGGUGGCGAAGGCGGCGAUCCUGGACCGGCAUUGA
rnacentral:rRNA from 1 species